AAAUAAGGAGAAUUCUUUCAUAUGGAAAGAGCUAGUACAAUCACAUAUUUGAAAGGAGAAACAAUAGGUACUGAACCGGAGGGAAAGGGCGAGGGUGAGUGUGCCAGCACCGGCCUGGUGAAUCCACGAUUCCAUUUCCCAUCCAAGGUAAGUUUCCCGAAAUAACGUAUAAACAAGCUGCACAUUACACCUCUAGCCAUCGUCUGCCCUUUCAAAUAUCUGGUCUACAUGGAAAGACAAAGAGGAAAGGCCAAAACAUAAACAAAAGGAAACAAAAACAAAACACAACCCUCUCAGGAACCAAACAAAACCCCCAAAUCCUUUUUUACUACACAAGGCAUGAGGUCAAAAGCUUGAGUACAGUGUCCCCUUUAGAUCAUGGGAGAAAGGCGUCCACACAGAGCCUUAGCAGGAAUUUCCACUCUGAGGCUUCAGAACAUGCUGAAGAUGGGGCUCUGAGGGUGCCACUACCAUCCUGGAGGCCACCAAGUGGGGUGGAGACAGUGAAGAGCAGGUCUCACAUGCCCGAAGACCACCAGCCAAAUACACAUUGGUGGCCCUGGUGGAGCAUGGCUGGGCGACAGUGUCCAUCCCCAACACUGAGCCACUCCUGUCCUGGAUGACUUCCUGCUUAGGUCCGUCACAUUUCAGAAGAGAGCUGGCUUUCUGGAAGCCUACGUUUCCCAUUCAUCACAGAACACGACAGAGUGCACACAUCCUGGUAUCCUUGGUCUUCAAAGGCCAUUUCCAGCAGACCCUCUAACCCAGGCUUGCUCUGCAGGAAGUGAAAAGGGACAAAUGAAGAUGUGAGGGGCAGCCUGCAGCUACUUGGCAGAGGGGAACCAAAUGGCAAGGGAGAAGGCUCCACCAGAGCUGCCAUGCUGCCGUAGCAGGCCAGACCACAGCAUGGCCGUGCACCUGUGUGUGCUCAGCUUCCAGAAGCCGUCACUGACCAUCCCGAAGGCAGAUCCAGAAGAUAGGAGGGUGACAGCACGGCUGGAGAGCACUGAUGUCAGCGUUUAACAGGGUUCCCCAGUGUCCCUAGAAGUGGCUGGAAGGACCACAGCUUUGGAACUGAACUGAUUUUCUUGAAUGUGAAAUAAAGUCAUCUUUUGUUUUCCCCCCUAAGGAACCUAGAGCCAGAGUGUCUAUGAAUUCCAAGUUUGAAAACAAUACGAAUGUUUAAAAAAAAAAAAAAAAGCUGUGGGGAGAAGCCAACAGUUAAGAAAACCAAAUCAAAUGCAGCUGGCAUUGCAGUCCCCAGUGGGUGGGUGGGCAUUUGAGAUGUACACCCACACUCUGGGCUUCAUCCCACUCUAGUGGACGGUGGACAAUACCGCAAGGCCACUGGUUGCUGAGCAACGAG
rnacentral:sRNA from 1 species